CGUAGGGGGCAAGCGUUGUCCGGAUUUAUUGGGCGUAAAGAGCGUGUAGGCGGCCAGACAGGUCCGUUGUGAAAACUCGAGGCUCAACCUCGAGACGUCGACGGAAACCGUCUGGCUAGAGUCCGGAAGAGGAGUGUGGAAUUCCUGGUGUAGCGGUGAAAUGCGCAGAUAUCAGGAAGAACACCUAUGGCGAAGGCAGCACUCUGGGACGGUACUGACGCUGAGACGCGAAAGCGUGGGGAGCGAACAGGAUUAGAUACCCUGGUAGUCCACGCCGUAAACGAUGGAUGCUAGGUGUGGGCGGUGUCGACUCCGUCCGUGCCGAAGCUAACGCAUUAAGCAUCCCGCCUGGGGAGUACGGCCGCAAGGCUA
rnacentral:rRNA from 1 species